AAUGAACGCUGGCGGCAUGCCUAACACAUGCCAGUCGAACGAAGGCUUCGGCCUUAGUGGCGCACGGGUGCGUAACGCGUGGGAAUCUGCCCUUGGGUUCGGAAUAACAGUUAGAAAUGACUGCUAAUACCGGAUGAUGUCGUAAGACCAAAGAUUUAUCGCCCAAGGAUGAGCCCGCGUAGGAUUAGCUAGUUGGUGGGGUAAAGGCCUACCAAGGCGACGAUCCUUAGCUGGUCUGAGAGGAUGAUCAGCCACACUGGGACUGAGACACGGCCCAGACUCCUACGGGAGGCAGCAGUGGGGAAUAUUGGACAAUGGGCGAAAGCCUGAUCCAGCAAUGCCGCGUGAGUGAUGAAGGCCUUAGGGUUGUAAAGCUCUUUUACCCGGGAUGAUAAUGACAGUACCGGGAGAAUAAGCUCCGGCUAACUUCGUG
rnacentral:rRNA from 1 species